rnacentral:rRNA from 1 species
CAGUCGAACGAUGAACCACUUCGGUGGGGAUUAGUGGCGAACGGGUGAGUAACACGUGGGCAAUCUGCCCUGCACUCUGGGACAAGCCCUGGAAACGGGGUCUAAUACCGGAUAACACUGUGGGCCUCAUGGUCUGCGGUUAAAAGCUCCGGCGGUGCAGGAUGAGCCCGCGGCCUAUCAGCUUGUUGGUGAGGUAAUGGCUCACCAAGGCGACGACGGGUAGCCGGCCUGAGAGGGCGACCGGCCACACUGGGACUGAGACACGGCCCAGACUCCUACGGGAGGCAGCAGUGGGGAAUAUUGCACAAUGGGCGAAAGCCUGAUGCAGCGACGCCGCGUGAGGGAUGACGGCCUUCGGGUUGUAAACCUCUUUCAGCAGGGAAGAAGCGAAAGUGACGGUACCUGCAGAAGAAGCGCCGGCUAACUACGUGCCAGCAGCCGCG